GACGAACGCUGGCGGCGUGCUUAACACAUGCAAGUCGAACGGAAAGGCCCUGCUUUUGUGGGGUGCUCGAGUGGCGAACGGGUGAGUAACACGUGAGUAACCUGCCCUUGACUUUGGGAUAACUUCAGGAAACUGAGGCUAAUACCGGAUAGGAGCUCCCGCUGCAUGGUGGGGGUUGGAAAGUUUCGGCGGUUGGGGAUGGACUCGCGGCUUAUCAGCUUGUUGGUGGGGUAGUGGCUUACCAAGGCCUUGACGGGUAGCCGGCCUGAGAGGGUGACCGGCCACAUUGGGACUGAGAUACGGCCCAGACUCCUACGGGAGGCAGCAGUGGGGAAUAUUGCACAAUGGGCGGAAGCCUGAUGCAGCAACGCCGCGUGCGGGAUGACGGCCUUCGGGUUGUAAACCGCUUUCGCCUGUGACGAAGCGUGAGUGACGGUAAUGGGUAAAGAAGCACCGGCUAACUACGUG
rnacentral:rRNA from 1 species